rnacentral:rRNA from 1 species
AGUGAACGCUGGCGGUAGGCCUAACACAUGCAAGUCGAACGGCAGCACAGUAAGAGCUUGCUCUUACGGGUGGCGAGUGGCGGACGGGUGAGGAAUACAUCGGAAUCUACUUUUUCGUGGGGGAUAACGUAGGGAAACUUACGCUAAUACCGCAUACGACCUACGGGUGAAAGCAGGGGAUCUUCGGACCUUGCGCGAUUGAAUGGGCCGAUGUUGGAUUAGCUAGUUGGCGGGGUAAAGGCCCACCAAGGCGACGAUCCGUAGCUGGUCUGAGAGGAUGAUCAGCCACACUGGAACUGAGACACGGUCCAGACUCCUACGGGAGGCAGCAGUGGGGAAUAUUGGACAAUGGGCGCAAGCCUGAUCCAGCCAUACCGCGUGGGUGAAGAAGGCCUUCGGGUUGUAAAGCCCUUUUGUUGGGAAAGAAAAGCAGCAGGUUAAUACCCCGCUGUUCUGACGGUACCCAAAGAAUAAGCACCGGCUAACUUCGUG